UAGCCUAGUGGUUAAGGCUAUGGAUUGCCAAUCCGGAGAUGGCGGGUUCGAUUCCCGU
rfam:Aedes albopictus isolate Foshan contig98148, whole genome shotgun sequence.